rnacentral:rRNA from 1 species
UGGAGAGUUUGAUCCUGGCUCAGAACGAACGCUGGCGGCAUGCCUAACACAUGCAAGUCGAACGAGAAAAGGGUAGCAAUACCCUGAGUAAAGUGGCGCACGGGUGAGUAAUGCAUGGGUAACCUACCUUGAAGGCUGGAAUAACCCUCCGAAAGGAGAGCUAAUACCGGAUAACAAGAAGAGAUGAAAAUCUCCUUCUUUAAAGGAUCCCCCGCAAGGGGAAAUCACUUCAAGAUGGGCUCAUGUCCCAUUAGCUAGUUGGUAGGGUAAUGGCCUACCAAGGCUGUGAUGGGUAGCCGGUCUGAGAGGAUGAUCGGCCACACUGGCACUGAAACACGGGCCAGACUCCUACGGGAGGCNNNNNNNNGCUAACUCUGUGCCAGCAGCCGCGGUAAGACAGAGGUGGCAAGCGUUGUUCGGAAUUACUGGGCGUAAAGGGUGUGUAGGUGGUCGAAUAAGUCAGUGGUGAAAGCCCAUAGCUUAACUAUGGAAGUGCCUUUGAUACUGUUUGACUUGAGUGCAGGAGAGGAGGGUGGAAUUCCCGGUGUAGAGGUGAAAUUCGUAGAUAUCGGGAGGAACACCAG